ACCGGGGCUAAUGCCGGGUAAUACUUUCUUUCGCAUGAAGGAAAGUUGAAAGAUGGCUUCUCGCUAUCACUUACAGAUGGGCCCGCGGCGCAUUAGCUAGUUGGUGAGGUAACGGCUCACCAAGGCGACGAUGCGUAGCCGACCUGAGAGGGUGAUCGGCCACACUGGGACUGAGACACGGCCCAGACUCCUACGGGAGGCAGCAGUAGGGAAUCUUCCGCAAUGGACGAAAGUCUGACGGAGCAACGCCGCGUGAACGAUGAAGGUCUUCGGAUCGUAAAGUUCUGUUGUUAGGGAAGAACAAGUACCGUGCGAAUAGAGCGGUACCUUGACGGUACCUAACGAGGAAGCCCCGGCUAACUACGUGCCAGCAGCCGCGGUAAUACGUAGGGGGCAAGCGUUGUCCGGAAUUAUUGGGCGUAAAGCGCGCGCAGGCGGUUCCUUAAGUCUGAUGUGAAAGCCCACGGCUCAACCGUGGAGGGUCAUUGGAAACUGGGGAACUUGAGGACAGAAGAGGAGAGUGGAAUUCCACGUGUAGCGGUGAAAUGCGUAGAUAUGUGGAGGAACACCAGUGGCGAAGGCGACUCUCUGGUCUGUUUCUGACGCUGAGGUGCGAAAGCGUGGGUAGCAAACAGGAUUAGAUACCCUGGUAGUCCACGCCGUAAACGAUGAGUGCUAGGUGUUAGGGGGCUUCCACCCCUUA
rnacentral:rRNA from 1 species